rnacentral:hammerhead_ribozyme from 1 species
GUCUAGCUGACGAGUCCCGAACAGGACGAAACGCGCGUCCUGGAU